rnacentral:rRNA from 1 species
CCUACGGGAGGCAGCAGUGGGGAAUAUUGCACAAUGGGCGAAAGCCUGAUGCAGCGACGCCGCGUGAGGGAUGACGGCCUUCGGGUUGUAAACCUCUUUCAGUAGGGAAGAAGCGAAAGUGACGGUACCUGCAGAAGAAGCGCCGGCUAACUACGUGCCAGCAGCCGCGGUAAUACGUAGGGCGCAAGCGUUAUCCGGAAUUAUUGGGCGUAAAGAGCUCGUAGGCGGUUUGUCGCGUCUGCCGUGAAAGUCCGGGGCUCAACUCCGGAUCUGCGGUGGGUACGGGCAGACCAGAGUGAUGUAGGGGAGACUGGAAUUCCUGGUGUAGCGGUGAAAUGCGCAGAUAUCAGGAGGAACACCGAUGGCGAAGGCAGGUCUCUGGGCAUUAACUGACGCUGAGGAGCGAAAGCAUGGGGAGCGAACAGGAUUAGAUACCCUGGUAGUCCAUGCCGUAAACGUUGGGCACUAGGUGUGGGGGUACAUUCCACGUUUUCCGCGCCGUAGCUAACGCAUUAAGUGCCCCGCCUGGGGNGUACGCGCGAGACGUAACUACAAGAAGUAGACGCGNGAGAGNGCGACGACGACGACGAGGGAGUAG